GACGAACGCUGGCGGCGUGCCUAAUACAUGCAAGUAGAACGCAGAAGGACGGGCUUUCUUCUCUGGAUGAGUUGCGAACGGGUGAGUAACGCGUAGGUAACCUGCCUGGUACCUGGGGAUAACUAUUGGAAACGAUAGCUAAUACCGCAUAGUAGCAGUUGUUGCAUGACAGCGGUUUGAAAGGUGCAAUUGUACGACAACCAGAUGGACCUGCGUUGUAUUAGCUUGGUGGUGGGGUAACGGCUCACCAAGGCGACGAUACAUAGCCGACCGGAGAGGGGGGUCGGCCACACUGGGACUGGGACACGGCCCAGACGCCCACGGGAGGGAGCAGGAGGGAAUCGUGGGCAAGGGGCGGAAGUCUGACCGCGCAACGCCGCGUGAGGGAAGAAGGGUGUCGGGUCGGAAAGGUCUGUUGUAAGGGAAGAAAGAGUGUGAGAGUGGAAAGUUGAGUCUGUGACGGUAUCUGACCAGAAAGGGACGGCUAACUACGUG
rnacentral:rRNA from 1 species